rnacentral:rRNA from 1 species
GAUCAUGGCUCAGGAUGAACGCUGGCGGCGUGCUUAACACAUGCAAGUCGAACGAAGCACUUAAGAUUGACUCUUCGGAUGACGUCUUUUGUGACUUAGUGGCGGACGGGUGAGUAACGCGUGGGUAACCUGCCUCACACAGGGGGAUAACAGUUAGAAAUGACUGCUAAUACCGCAUAACCCGAUAGGAUCGCAUGAUCCAGACGGAAAAGAUUUAUCGGUGUGAGAUAGACCCG